GGAUGUUAGGGCUAUCUGACUGCGACAUCUGUCACCCCAUUGAUCACCAGGGUUGAUUUGGUUGAUCUGGCUGGCUAGGUGGGUGUCUCCUUCCUCCCUCACCGCUCCAUGUGUAUCCCUCCUGAAGUGGCACGCUUGGUCGAAGAGGACGGCCUUCCCCGAAUAGAGACAGACUGGUCUUUGUUCAGGGGUAUAGCUGUAUAGUAGCUGUGCUUCCCUUCUAGAACCUCCAGACAAACUCUCAAUCCUCCACACCGCCAUAAGCCAGAGCUGAGCAGUGCUGUGGUAAAAUAAUAAUAAUAAUAUCUUAAAAAUACACCUUUACUAUAGUGAUCCAAUAUGGCAAGUGGU
ensembl:misc_RNA 7SK 7SK RNA